GUAAGUAUAGUUUAACAAAAACGUUAGACUGUGAAUCUAAUGAUAUAAAUCAAAAAUUUUUUACUUACC
rnacentral:tRNA from 1 species